rnacentral:rRNA from 1 species
AAGAGUCUGGCCUGCCCGGUGAUUUUUUUAACGGCCGCGGUACUUUGACCGUGCAAAGGUAGCAUAAUCAAUUGCCUUAUAAUUGAAGGCUAGUAUGAAAGGUUUAACGAAAGUUAAGCUGUCUUUUUUUAAAUAAAAAGAAAUUAACUUAUAAGUGCAAAGGCUUAUAUGUAACUAAAAGACAAGAAGACCCUAUUGAGCUUAUAAAAAUAUUUAAGAUCAAAGUAUAUAAAAAUUAUAAUCUUUCAGAAUUUUUAGUUGGGGCGACUUAGGAAUAAAUAUAACUUCCUAGUAUUAAAAUUACUUUUAUGUUUUUAUCCAAAAAUUUUUGAUUAUCAGAAUUAGUUACCAUAGGGAUAACAGCAUAAUCUUUCUUAGGAGUUCUAAUCGAAAGAAAGGAUUGUGACCUCGAUGUUGGACUAGAAUAUCCUAAAGGUGCAGAAGCUUUUAAGGGUUGGUCUGUUCG